GAAAUGCGAUAACUAGUGUGAAUUGCAGAAUUCCGUGAAUCAUCGAGUCUUUGAACGCACAUUGCGCCCCCUGGUAUUCCGGGGGGCAUGCCUGUCCGAGCGUCAUUGCUGCCCAUCAAGCACGGCUUGUGCGUUGGGUCGUCGUCCCCUCUCCGGGGGGGACGGGCCCCAAAGGCAGCGGCGGCACCGCGUCCGAUCCUCGAGCGUAUGGGGCUUUGUCACCCGCUCUGUAGGCCCGGCCGGCGCUUGCCGAACGCAAAUCAAUCUUUUUCCAGGUUGACCUCGGAUCAGGUAGGGAUACCCGCUGAACUUAAGC
rnacentral:misc_RNA from 1 species